UUCCGGUUGAUCCCGCCGGACCUGACUGCUAUCGGAUUGAUACUAAGCCAUGCGAGUCAUUGUAGCAAUACAAGGCAUACGGCUCAGUAACGCGUAGUCAACCUAACCUAUGGACGGGAAUAACCUCGGGAAACUGAGAAUAAUGCCCGAUAGAACACUAUACCUGGAAUGGUUUGUGUUCCAAAUGAUUUAUCGCCAUAGGAUGGGACUGCGGCCUAUCAGUUUGUUGGUGAGGUAAUGGCCCACCAAGACUAUUACAGGUACGGGCUCUGAGAGGAGUAGCCCGGAGAUGGGUACUGAGACACGGACCCAGGCCCUAUGGGGCGCAGCAGGCGAGAAAACUUUGCAAUGUGCGAAAGCACGACAAGGUUAAUCCGAGUGAUUUGUGCUAAACGAAUCUUUUGUUAGUCCUAGAAACACUAACGAAUAAGGGGUGGGCAAGUUCUGGUGUCAGCCGCCGCGGUAAAACCAGCACCUCAAGUGGUCAGGAUGAUUAUUGGGCCUAAAGCAUCCGUAGCCGGCUCUGUAAGUUUUCGGUUAAAUCUGUACGCUUAACGUACGGGCUGCCGGGAAUACUGCAGAGCUAGGGAGUGGGAGAGGUAGACGGUACUCGGUAGGAAGUGGUAAAAUGCUUUGAUCUAUCGAUGACCACCUGUGGCGAAGGCGGUCUACCAGAACACGUCCGACGGUGAGGGAUGAAAGCUGGGGGAGCAAACCGGAUUAGAUACCCGGGUAGUCCCAGCUGUAAACUAUGCAAACUCAGUGAUGCAUUGGCUUGUGGCCAAUGCAGUGCUGCAGGGAAGCCGUUAAGUUUGCCGCCUGGGAAGUACGUACGCAAGUAUGAAACUUAAAGGAAUUGGCGGGGGAGCACCACAAGGGGUGAAGCCUGCGGUUCAAUUGGAUUCAACGCCGGG
rnacentral:rRNA from 1 species